GACGAACGCUGGCGGCGUGCCUAAUACAUGCAAGUCGAGCGAAUGGAAGGGAGCUUGCUCCCUGAAGUUAGCGGCGGACGGGUGAGUAACACGUGGGCAACCUGCCUGUAAGACUGGGAUAACUUCGGGAAACCGGAGCUAAUACCGGAUACGUUCUUUUCUCGCAUGAGGAAAGAUGGAAAGAUGGUUUCAGCUAUCACUUACAGAUGGGCCCGCGGCGCAUUAGCUAGUUGGUGGGGUAAUGGCCCACCAAGGCGACGAUGCGUAGCCGACCUGAGAGGGUGAUCUGCCACACUGGGACUGAGACACGGCCCAGACUCCUACGGGAGGCAGCAGUAGGGAAUCUUCCGCAAUGGACGAAAGUCUGACGGAGCAACGCCGCGUGAGCGAAGAAGGCCUUCGGGUCGUAAAGCUCUGUUGUCAGGGAAGAACAAGUGCCAGAGUAACUGCUGGCACCUUGACGGUACCUGACCAGAAAGCCACGGCUAACUACGUGCCAGCCGCCGCCGUAA
rnacentral:rRNA from 1 species